UCCACAGUAGCUCAGUGGUAGAGCAAUCGGCUGUUAACCGAUCGGUCGUAGGUUCGAAUCCUACCUGUAGAGCCA
rnacentral:tRNA from 1 species